AAACAUGGCUCUUUGAAUUUAUUUCGAUAGAGAGUCAGGCCUGCCCAGUGAAUAAUAUUUAACGGCCGCGGUACUCUGACCGUGCAAAGGUAGCAUAAUCAUUUGCCUUAUAAUUGAAGGCUAGUAUGAAUGGUUUAACGAGAGCAAUACUGUCUCCUUUUUAUUUUCAAGAACUUAACCUUUAGGUGAAGAGGCCUAAAUUUGAUUGAAGGACAAGAAGACCCUGUCGAGCUUAAAAGACAUUGUAGAAGUAUAUGUAUAUAUAUUAAAUAAAUUUACUAUUAAGCUUUUUAGUUGGGGCGACUAAGGAACAAAAAAAGCUUCUUGUAAUAAACAAACAACCAAGUUUUGAUCCGAUAACAAUCGAUUAAAGAAAUUAGUUACCGCAGGGAUAACAGCAUAAUCUCUCUUGAGAGACCUAAUCGAAAGAGGGGGUUGUGACCUCGAUGUUGGACUAGAAUAUCCUAAAGAUGCAGAAGUCUUUAAGGGUCGGUCUGUUCGACCGUUAAAAUUCUACGUGAU
rnacentral:rRNA from 1 species